GUUAAUGUAGCUUAAAUUUUUACUAAAGCAAGACACUGAAAAUGUCUAGAUGGGCAUAUGCCGCCCCAUCAACA
rnacentral:tRNA from 1 species